GGGAAUUUUUCCGCAAUGGGCGAAAGCCUGACGGAGCAAUACCGCGUGAGGGAGGAAGGCUCUUGGGUUGUAAACCUCUUUUCUCAGGGAAGAAAAAAAUGACGGUACCUGAGGAAUAAGCAUCGGCUAACUCCGUGCCAGCAGCCGCGGUAAUACGGAGGAUGCAAGCGUUAUCCGGAAUGAUUGGGCGUAAAGGGUCCGCAGGUGGCUAUGUAAGUCUGCUGUUAAAGAAUGAGGCUUAACCUCAUCAGAGCGGUGGAAACUACACAGCUAGAGUGCGUUCGGGGUAGAGGGAAUUCCUGGUGUAGCGGUGAAAUGCGUAGAUAUCAGGAAGAACACCAGUGGCGAAAGCGCUCUACUAGGCCGCAACUGACACUGAGGGACGAAAGCUAGGGGAGCGAAAGGGAUUAGAUA
rnacentral:rRNA from 1 species